rnacentral:tRNA from 1 species
GCUGCCGCAGCACGAUGGAGGUGCAUCCGCAUGGUAAGCGGGAGGCUGGCGGUUCGAUCCCGCCCGGCAGCACCA